rnacentral:lncRNA from 1 species
GCUGUGGCUAAUCACAAUCUCUGAAUGCGCAGCACAACCAUCUGACAGGCGGCUCUCCUCUCCCUCAGCCUGGAGAUGGUCCCAGAUUGUCAUGAGACAGACCACCUUGCUCCUAGUGGCACACAGGACGUACACAAUGGCUGCGCAUGGAGUUAAUGACAUGAAAGUGCCACACUGACGUCUGCCCGUCCUGAGUAGCUGUUAACCCCGGGCAUUUUAUUGCCCCAUUUGCCAGGUCUCUCAUCUCAGCCGCCUACGAAGGUCAAAUCCUGCAUAUUUACGCCAAACUUGAGAGUUGACCAAGUGCCUUUCCCAUGCAUCUUCCUGUUUCACCCCAAGCCGAAAGGUUUGGAAAACAUGCCACCCUUUUAACCUCGGAGAGACUUCUGCCUGGGAAAAGAAUGAAGUGAAAUAAACUCUUUUGAGGGCCUGUGAUCA